UUUUGUUUUUCGGCUCUUUGCCGUUGGCGUUGAUUUUUCUAAAAGUGCUUUUGGCUUCUAAGCAGGCCAAUACUAUUUAGCCCUAUGCUAUUUUACGGGCCACACUCUUUUCACUUUUCCACCGAGUGCAUAAUGCAAUAUUAAAAAUAAUUGAAAAAUGAAAUUUGGCUGUAGCUGCCAAACCGACAACAAUCCAAUUAUAAAUGAUCGAAUGCUGAAUUCUCUUAACUGAAGAAGCAACAAAAUUAUAUAGUAUAUUUGCGUGACUCAUUAUAUCGUGUAUUCUUGUUUUGAACCUCAUUCGAACUAUGAAUUAUAUGGGCUACACUGUGGUAAGGUGCUUUUGCAGAAAAGCAGGGGUUUAUGGAUAUAUAGAGGUCGGGGGCAUCGCAUAAAUUGUUCCAAAUGGUUGCAAUAAUAUGCAAAUCGCACCCAUCAGAGGCUUUGGGCCACGGCACCCAAUAAAUUAACACAAUAAAUUCUGGGGAAAAAAUGCAAAAAAAAAUACAAUUCUCUAUCAAACAUAAAGGAUGACGAAUAGGAAAUACUCUCAGGCAAGCUAUUUUUUCAAUCAAUAUUUAAUCAUUAUUUAAUUUUUAUGAAAUAUGUGUAUGUAAUUUGAACAUUUUUAUAUUAAUUUAAAUUUUUUUUUAAAUGUGUCUCAUUGAACUUCUUUCAAUAUUGAAUGAAUAAAUCUGGGAAAUACCCUUUAAACUAGGGUACUUCAGCAGAAUGGCGGCAAACAAUAGACAUGUGGGGCUAUGUAAAGGGGGGUUUUUAGACGCGUCGUCAGUUCUGUGUGUUCCGUUUGUCGCCAGACAAGGACGGCGAAUGGGGGGUCAGAGCGAGACAGACAGGCGUUGUCCUUUUGCGUGCGAAAAGCGACGGACGGACAGACGGCGUCAAAAUGGCGUCGCCAAUAUGUCGCCGGGCGUUGGAAAUAUCCCCGCUUGUUGUCUAUAUACUCCCCUAUUCCGUCGCCCGAUUUUCCCAGCAAUUCCCCCCUAUAGCUGAAGCUAUAGCUUUGACUAUAGCUAUGGCUCUUGUUGUUGUGCGGAGCGUUAAUUGCCCCCUUUGAGCUGAGUGACAGCGAACGAUAAACGAGCAAACAGUUGCAAAAGUCGCCAGAUCUUGAGGGAGCAUAUAUAUAUAUAUACCUCAUCCCUUUGGCCAACCAUCCCAUCCCUCUAAUGCUGCUUUAUUUAUACUACCAUCAUCAUUAUCAUUUGUCGCCCGCCCCGUCUCCACUUCCCCGCAAGCUCUGCGACUCUGUCUCCAUCGGGUUGCCAUUUUUAAUUUAGCAAAUGUUGUAAAUUUACGCUAAUUUAUUGCGUGUCGCCUGAGGCCGCCAGCAAAAAUGGAGAGAAGGGGGGGAAAGAAAAGUGGAAAAAGGCGAUCGGACUCUUCUGGUGGCAUUAGUCACUCUUGGUUGGUGGCCGCAGCUAAUUGCCGCACAACAACGGCCAGGGUCAGGAUUGUGUAUGGCCAGAAAGGUGGCAACACAAUUUUUCCAUCCAAGCAAAACAAGCAAACGCGACAAGGAAGAAAGCGACUCUCGGGUUGCACCUGAAAGGGGUUCUAACAAUAAAUCACACGGACUGAGGGGAAAAAAGAAAGGAUAAACCGCAAAAGAAAGUCCGGGCAAAGUGGAGCGUACGGAAAUUUGUCACAAAAAGAAAAUAAUAGGACCUCAAAACUUUAUAUUAAUAAUAUUAAUGAUGUUUUAAGUAAAUGGUCAUAUCAUAAUAACACUGAAAUAAAACAUAGAAAGAAACAAGCAU
rnacentral:sRNA from 1 species